AGCAGUAGCCGCGGGAAUACGAAGGGUGCAAGCGUUACUCGGAUUUACUGGGCGUAAAGCGCACGUAGGCGGAUCGAUCAGUCAGGGGUGAAAUCCCAGAGCUCAACUCUGGAACUGCCUUUGAUACUGUCGAUCUGGAGUAUGGAAGAGGUGAGUGGAAUUCCGAGUGUAGCAGUGAAAUGCGUAGAUAUGUGGAGGAACACCGAUGGCGAAGGCAGCCUCCUGGGCCAAUACUGACGCUCAUGCACGAAAGCGUGGUGAGCAAACAGGAUUAGAUACCCCCGUAGUCCCUGUCUCUUAUAC
rnacentral:rRNA from 1 species